rnacentral:rRNA from 1 species
GUGGGGAAUAUUGGACAAUGGGCGCAAGCCUGAUCCAGCCAUGCCGCGUGAGUGAUGAAGGCCCUAGGGUUGUAAAGAUCUUUCACCGGAGAAGAUAAUGACGGUAUCCGGAGAAGAAGCCCCGGCUAACUUCGUGCCAGCAGCCGCGGUAAUACGAAGGGGGCUAGCGUUGUUCGGAAUUACUGGGCGUAAAGCGCACGUAGGCGGACAUUUAAGUCAGGGGUGAAAUCCCGGGGCUCAACCCCGGAACUGCCUUUGAUACUGGGUGUCUGGAGUAUGGAAGAGGUAAGUGGAAUUCCGAGUGUAGAGGUGAAAUUCGUAGAUAUUCGGAGGAACACCAGUGGCGAAGGCGGCUUACUGGUCCAUUACUGACGCUGAGGUGCGAAAGCGUGGGGAGCAAACAGGAUUAGAAACCCCUGUAGUCC